rnacentral:rRNA from 1 species
UACGUAGGCAGCGAGCGUUGUUCGGAAUUACUGGGCGUAAAGAGUGUGUAGGCGGUGUUCCCAGUCUGUUGUGAAAUCUCCCGGCUUAACUGGGAGGGUGCAGCGGAAACUAGAAUGCUAGAGGGUGGGAGAGGAAAGCGGAAUUCCUGGUGUAGCGGUGAAAUGCGUAGAUAUCAGGAGGAACACCUGUGGUGUAGACGGCUUUCUGGACCAUAGCUGACGCUGAGACACGAAAGCGUGGGUAGCAAACAGG